rnacentral:rRNA from 1 species
UACGUAGGGGGCAAGCGUUAUCCGGAUUUACUGGGUGUAAAGGGGGCGCAGACGGCAGCGCAAGCCAGGAGUGAAAGCCCGGGGCCCAACCCCGGGACUGCUCUUGGAACUGCGCGGCUGGAGUGCAGGAGGGGCAGGCGGAAUUCCUGGUGUAGCGGUGAAAUGCGUAGAUAUCAGGAGGAACACCGGUGGCGAGGGCGGCCUGCUGGACUGCGACUGACGUUGAGGCCCGAAAGCGUGGGGAGCAAACAGG